CGUGACGGAUGCUCCACAGUCAGUCGAACGGCAGCACGGACUUCGGUCUGGUGGCGAGUGGCGAACGGGUGAGUAUGUAUCGGAACGUGCCCAGUAGCGGGGGAUAACUACGCGAAAGCGUAGCUAAUACCGCAUACGCCCUACGGGGGAAAGCAGGUGAUCGUCAAGACUUGCACUAUUGGAGCGGCCGAUAUCGGAUUAGCUAGUUGGUGGGGUAACGGCUCACCAAGGCGACGAUCCGUAGCUGGUCUGAGAGGAUGAUCAGCCACAUUGGGACUGAGACACGGCCCAAACUCCUACGGGAGGCAGCAGUGGGGAAUAUUGGACAAUGGGCGCAAGCCUGAUCCAGCCAUGCCGCGUGAGUGAUGAAGGCCCUAGGGUUGUAAAGCUCUUUUAACGGGGAAGAUAAUGACGGUACCCGUAGAAUAAGCCCCGGCUAACUUCGUGCCAGCAGCCGCGGUAAUACGAAGGGGGCUAGCGUUGCUCGGAAUCACUGGGCGUAAAGGGUGCGUAGGUGGAUUUUUAAGUCAGGCGUGAAAUCCUGGAGCUCAACUCCAGAACUGCCUUUGAUACUGGGAAUCUUGAGUUCGGGAGAGGUGAGUGGAA
rnacentral:rRNA from 1 species